rnacentral:tRNA from 1 species
AACCCCAUCAUGGGGCUUGAACCCACGUCCACAAGGUUAAGAGCCUUGUGCUUUACCAACUGAGUAGUGGAGC